GUGGGUGGAGGCAGGGGGGGGGGGGGGGGCGGGGCUGGGGGAGUGGGCAGAGAGCUGAGAUCCCAGAGGGACAGACAGAAAACCGUCUGCCAGGAGCAGGUCAGGUAGACUUCAGGGGGAGAACGGACCGUGUCGCGAUGGAUCGGGGCGAGGGCUGGGGAGAGGCGGGCGCCAGGAUAGCAUUCACAUUGGAACCAGGACCUCCUGACCCUCCCGGCAGACAGCAGCAUCCCCGCCUCCCCCUGCCUGACCGGAGGCCGAGCCCUGGACCAGGACACGCCCUCCCCCCCCCCCCCCCGCCCCCACAAGUGCACUGGUGCUUCCAAGGUCAGGCCCAAAUCUGUGCCGGGCAGGGGGCAGCUUCCCGCCACUGAGCCUCCCCCACGCCGGCUGCCUGGGGGGACCCUAGUCUUCCCUCCUGCCCGUUUGAACCUGCAGCACUUACUGAGCUGGAGCAGUGAGGAGCGAGACAGACACGGUCUCUGCCCACGGGGAGCGCAGAUGUCCAACAGCGAAAGCCGGACAGAGGGUCCCAGCCAGCGAGCCCGCGGCCCGGGUGACCAAGCCAGGAACCCUGGCUGCUCUCGGGGAGGACACGGCUGCAGGCCGGCACUAAUGCUGAGGGCCGCCCUUUGCUGAGCCGUUAGUGGGAUUAACUCGUUCGUCCUCAGAACAGCUGCUACGGUCCCCAUUUCACAGACAGGGAAACCGAGGCACGGGGAAGCAGAGGGCAGGAUGCACAGAGCUGGCUUUGUCCUGCGUGGCUGGCUCUGGCCCUGCCCUCUCAGCGCGUCCCACCCGGGCUGGUUGUCAGGUGUGGAAAGAGGGUCUUAUGGUCCAGUGUAUCCUGCUGUUAGGUGUGGAAAAAAAGUUUAACUGAUAAA